rnacentral:lncRNA from 1 species
GGGGGGGUGAGAGACGAGAACCGAAGGAAGGUCAAGAGUUCAGAACACCAGCCGGACCAUUGCUCAUCCAGACACCACGCCCGCAACACCUCCAGUCACCACGCUACCACCGACCCGGCGAGUCUACGCAGCCUAGUGACCGCCUGUGGCUUGUCGUUGGGUGUGACUUGCAGAACAGCAGCGGGGAGGUUGACCUAUGUGACGGUAGUUUCGUGCGGCGCAGUGUCGUUUCACACAGCACAGCACAGCACAGCACAGCACAGCGGAGAGGAGUUGGCAAUCCAAAGGCCUGACAACAGCGAUAAUGAGCCUCGUCUACCAUCGAGUCUAGUUUACCAUUGACAACGCCCCCUACCAACACCACUGCCUCGCCACCGCCGUAAGAUCUGGGAAAGACUCUGCCUUGCAUCGCGCCCACACACGCUGUAUUCUAACGCCGCCACUGAAAGAUACUGGCUGAGUGGGUGAUAGGAAGGCAGGUGUGGUGUUAAGGCGUAUUGGCGACGAGAACCAGCAGAUGACGUGACACGGAAGAUUCCACUAACCAAGAAUUGGCGAUCCAAAGGCCUGAGUGCAGAGAUCCCGUGACUCCUGCACCAUCAGGGAGGGACUCUGACAUCCCGUGGCCUUCACUGACCGCCAGUGACACCGCCGCUCCUCGCAUUGGGCCUUCACUGCCGUCCCGUUAACAUGUCCCGCCGUCGCUGCUAACACGUCCCGCCGUCACCGCUACUGCCACCACCACCACCGCCUCCAUCAUCCAGUGAAAGAUUCUGCCUCGCAUCAGACGUCCUGCCGCUACCACCACCA